AUGUACAUGCCUAUAGCAUAACGUUAAUGCACUGAAUCCCAUUAGAACUCCACAAUUAAGUGUUCUUUGGCUAGAGUAGUAUUGGGAUGGGUGAUCGCUCGGGAAGUCCUAGUGUUUUACAUG
rnacentral:rRNA from 1 species